CCUACGGGAGGCAGCAGUGGGGAAUAUUGCACAAUGGGGGAAACCCUGAUGCAGCGACGCCGCGUGAGUGAAGAAGUAAUUCGUUAUGUAAAGCUCUAUCAGCAGGGAAGAAAAUGACGGUACCUGAGUAAGAAGCCCCGGCUAACUACGUGCCAGCAGCCGCGGUAAUCCGUAGGGGGCAAGCGUUAUCCGGAUUUACUGGGUGUAAAGGGAGCGUAGACGGCAGUGCAAGUCUGGAGUGAAAGGCGGGGGCUCAACCCACGGACUGCUCUGGAAACUGUACGGCUGGAGUGCAGGAGAGGUAAGUGGAAUUCCGAGUGUAGCGGUGAAAUGCGUAGAUAUUAGGAGGAACACCAGUGGCGAAAGCGGCUUACUGGACUGUAACUGACGUUGAGGCUCGAAAGCGUGGGGAGCAAACAGGAUUAGAUACCCUUGUAGUC
rnacentral:rRNA from 1 species